rnacentral:rRNA from 1 species
UACAUGGGGUGCAAACGUUGCUCGGAAUCAUUGGGCGUAAAGGGCGCGUAGGCGGCCUGCUAAGUCGGACGUGAAAUCCCUCGGCUCAACCGGGGAACUGCGUCCGAUACUGGUGGGCUCGAGUCCGGGAGAGGGGGGUGGAAUUCCCAGUGUAGCGGUGAAAUGCGUAGAUAUUGGGAGGAACACCGGUGGCGAAGGCGGCCCCCUGGACCGGAACUGACGCUGAGGCGCGAAAGCGUGGGUAGCAAACGGG